rnacentral:piRNA from 1 species
UGAAAACUGUAAUGAGAGGACGGG